AUCCCAGAGAGCUCCCUCACCUCUUCUGCUAUGUGAGGGCACAGCGAGAAGACAGCCGACUGUGAACCAGGAAGCAGGCUCUCGCCAGACAUCGAAUCUGCCCACACCUUGAUCUUGGACCUCCAGCCUCCAGAACAGUGAGAAAUAAACAAGUGCUGUUUAUAAACCACCUAGUCUAUGUCGUGUUCCAUCUGGCUCUAUAUCAGUCAGAGUCCGAAGAGGAAUACAGAAGCCACACUAGGUAUUUCAAACAUUAAUACAGAUCAAAUUUAAUACAAGGCUCCUUUACAAGAUUGUUGGAAAUUUUGGAGAAGCAAAGUUACUCAAUAGAUUACUCAAGUUACUCAGAGAUUAGUAACUAAAGGAAAGUGCUACCAUCUCUAUGCUUAAGAGGCAAAACUUUGCCCAAAGGCCAGGUUUGGUGUGCUGCUCAGGUUCCUGACGUUGGAGCCCAGUUGCACAAGCAGGAACCAGUAAUUUGAGCCCUGUCUGACAAACAUGAGCUGGAGUAUCAUUAUGAUUUGGAUGCUUUCCAGAUUUGAAUAUCACUUUUCAGACCAUAAAAGGAGUGAUAGGAUCCUUGGCAAGUGGACUAGAACUGACUGAACCUCAGAAGGACUGCCUGUAUGCUGACUGAGGCACUGGGGAAAAGAAAGCAAGGAAAAGCAGAGCGAAUCUGUCAUAGAAUGGCUCGGAUUUUUCCAUAUACUAUCAAACUUAUGGGGGAAAAGCUCACACCAAGAUCAAGCAAUUAUCCUCAACACUAGGAGAAAGGAACCAAGAGGUUGCUGUGCCAAAUACGUGCCAGGCACUGUACAUGUGUGGUUUUGUUUUCUCAAGUUAACCCCAGGCGGCAAGCGUUUUAGCGCACGUUAUGGAUGGAAACCUGAGACUUAGAGAAUUUAAGUCACUUGACCAAACAGCCAUUCAGUGGCAGUUCUACUAGUCCAACAUAAAUCUGUCUGAUUCCAACACUCAGGUCCUUUCCUGUACCCUCUACUAUCUCUUUAUGAAGUCAGAAGUUGGUGAGAAAUUUCAGAAGACCUUGGGGAAUUUGUCAACAAAGAAAUGUUUUCAAGAGCUGUCUAUUUUCCCCAACAAUGUGUUGAAAAAGUGUUAUAAGUUUUAGACGUUUUACUGGUUAAUUUGCAAGCAGAGCAAUAAAAGAGUAGAAUCAUUCGAACUUAACAUCCAUUUAGAUAGCUGUUGAGCCAAGUCACGCAUCGAAGAUCCCCCAGCGUCUUUGCCCUGUUCCACAAAUAGAGCAGUGAUGACUCAUGUGCAUAGAGUGGUAUGAAACCCACUCACUCACACAUGCAUGCUGAGCUGUGGUCCCCAGUGAUUUACUGCAUCUCUGAAUAUUGACAGUCAGCCACAUCUAAAAUCACAGCUAGGAAUAGAAGGGGCCCAAGAAACCGGACACUGCUCUCUACUUCUAGAACCUCACAGCAGCAUAAUGGAAAAACCAAGGCAGGUCUUCAGUGGGCAGUUGAAUGAUUAUGUUCUGGGAUGGCAGAAUUAACCAAGCUGAAAAGUAAUUGUUCAAGGGGCAAUUCAUCCUGUGACUUGCAGUAAAUAAGAGGCCCCCGAAAGCCUGGCAGUUCACUGAACACUGUCUGGUUGUAUUCCCUUUAAGAUCAACACGUUGAUACGUUUAUGAGCAUCUAAUGGGCACUGCCUAAUACCGCUAAUUGCCACUUAGUGUUAAUCUUGGGCUUUAUUCCUUCCGUGUACUUUCUGAGCCCUUACUUGGUUAAUUAGACCAGCACUGGCUGCGUUGCCUCCUGCUUCUUCUGGUAAGAGACUAGAAGUCCUACACUAUCCUAUGGAGACCACAGCUCGAGUUUUCCUUUGCCACAUCUUGUUUUGAAAUUAGGUACACUGGGAAGGCCCUUCACACUUUUGUUAAUUUUAACUAAAAAGGUCCUAAAUGGUUUCCCAACAUCCUCUCUUGCCUCUCUAACGAAGUGGUCCUCAAACUUUAGCAUGCAUCCAAAUCACCUGGUGGGCUUGUUAAACCGAAGAUUGAGGGCCCCACCCUGAGAACUUCCUAUUCACUAAGUCAAGCAUGGAGCCCCAAAAGGCGCAUUUCUAGCAAGUUCCCCGGUGAUGCUGAUGCUGCUGGCUGGGGUCACACUUGGGGCACUACUGCUCUGACUGGAUGCUUCAAAGCUGCCCUAGGAGACAAAGACCUGGGGGGUCCUCAAAGACCUCGUCUUGCAGAAGCCCAAGCUGGAGACUCAGGACUUUGUGGAGAGAAACAUUGAGGUAAAAACCAAACUCUGUUUUUUCCCUUUGAAAUGAAUAGAAACGGGGGAAAGCCACAAUGGGCCCCUGAUUUAGUGGUUCUCAAAGUGUUCUUCCUUAACCAGAAGUCUCAGCAUCACCUGGGAACUUGUUAGAAAUGCUAAGUCUCAGGCCCCACCCCAGACCAGCCAACUCAGAAAUUCUGGAGGUGGAGCCCAGGACUGGAGUGGGAGAACCACGGCUUCAAAUCCACUCUUUACAGAGCAGUCAGGGUGACCGUUUUUUUAAUUGAAAUUUUUAUUGUGAUAAUUGUAAAUUCACAUGUAGUUGUAAGAAAUAGUAUGGGGAGAUUCCUUGCACACUUUGCCCAGUUUCCCUCAAUGAUAACAUUUUGCAAAACCAUGGUAUAGUGUCAUAACCAGGACUUUUUUUUUUUUUUUGCUGAGGAAGAUUCACCCUAAGCUAACAUCUGUUGCCAAUCUUCCUCUUUUCGUAUGUGAGCCACCACCACAGCAUGGCCACUGACAGAUGAGUGGCAUAGGUCCAUGCCCAGGAAUUGGUUGAACCUGGGCCACUGAAGCAAAGCACACCAAAAUUAACCACUAGGUCACCAGGCCUGGCCUGAUAACCAGGAUUUUAAGAUUGAUAUCAUGCAUCUGUUUUAUUCAGAUUUCCAUAGUUUUACCUGUAGUGAUGUGUGUGUGUGUGUAUUAAUCUCCAUGCAGUUUUAUCACCAGUGUAUACCAUGUGUCCACCACCAUGGUCAAGUUCUAACACCAUAAAGAUCCUUCAGUUUGUUUAUGACAAUACCCACCAUUCUCAUCCCUAACCCCUGGCAACUACUAAUCUGUUUUCCAUUUCUAAAACUUUGUCAUUUCAAAAACGCUAUAUAAAUGGAAUCAUACAGCUUUAACCUUUUGAGAUUGGCUUUUUUCACUUGGCAUAAUUCCCUGGAGAUUCAUCCAAGUUGUGUGUAUCAAUAAUUCAUUCCUUUUUAUUCCUGAGUAGUUUCCAUGGUCAUUAUGUACCCCAGUUUGUUUAAGCACUCCUGUUGAAGGACACCUAGACUGAUAGAUUUUGGCACUUAUGAAUAAAGCAGCUGUGAAC
rnacentral:lncRNA from 1 species